AAGUCGUACGAGAGUUUUUAACUUAAGUGGCGGACGGGUGAGUAAAGCCCAAUUUACCUUUAGGAGGGGGAUAACAGCUGGAAAGGUUGCAAAUACCCCAUAUGCUUUCGAGUGAAAUGGAUUUCUGCCUAAAGAGAAGCUUGCGGCUGAUUAGCUUGUUGGUGAGGUAAUGGCUCACCAAGGCGACGAUCAGUAUCUGGUUUGAGAGGAUGAUCAGACACACUGGAACUGAGACACGGUUCAGACUCCUGCGGGAGGCAGCAGUGGGGAAUUUUCCGCAAUGGGCGAAAGCCUGACGGAGCAAUACCGCGUGAAGGAUGACUGCCUAUGGGUUGUAAACUUCUUUUUUCAGGGAGGAAUUAAUGACGUGUACCUGAAGAAUAAGCAUCGGCUAACUCCGUGCCAGCAGCCGCGGUAAGACGGAGGAUGCAAGUGUUAUCCGGAAUCACUGGGCGUAAAGCGUCUGUAGGUGGUCUAACAAGUCAACUGUUAAAUCUUGAGGCUCAACCUCAAAACUGCAGUUGAAACUGCUAAACUAGAGUAUAGUAGGGGUAAAGGGAAUUUCCAGUGGAGCGGUGAAAUGCGUAGAGAUUGGAAGGAACACCGAUGGCGAA
rnacentral:rRNA from 1 species